AGCAAUAUCUUAGUAAAGCGGCGCACGGGUAAGUAACACGUGGAUAACCUGCCUCGAAGUGGGGAAUAACACCGGGAAACCGGUGCUAAUUCCGCAUACUCUGACGAGAUCUGUGGAUUUUGUCAGCAAAGGAGCAAUUCGCUUUGAGAGGGGCCCGCGGCUGAUUAGCUAGUUGGUGAGGUAAUGGCUCACCAAGGCCACGAACAGUAGCCGGUCUGAGAGGACGGUCGGCCACACUGGAACUGAGACACGGUCCAGACUCCUACGGGAGGCAGCAGUGGGGAAUUUUUCGCAAUGGGGGCAACCCUGACGAAGCAACGCCGCGUGGGUGAUGAAGUAUUUCGGUACGUAAAACCCUUUCGACGGGGACGAAACCGCAAGGUUGACGGUACCCGUAGAAGAAGCCCCGGCUAACUCCGUGCCAGCAGCCGCGGUAAUACGGGGGGGGCAAGCGUUGUUCGGAAUUACUGGGCGUAAAGGGCGCGUAGGCGGCUCGCUAAGUUGGAUGUGAAAACUCUGGGCUUAACCCAGAGCCUGCAUCCAAAACUGGCAAGCUUGAGUACUGGAGGGGAAAGCGGAAUUCCUGGUGUAGCGGUGAAAUGCGUAGAUAUCAGGAGGAACACCGGUGGCGAAGGCGGCUUUCUGGACAGUAACUGACGCUGAGGCGCGAAAGCUAGGGGA
rnacentral:rRNA from 1 species